rnacentral:rRNA from 1 species
UACAGAGGGGGCAAGCGUUGUUCGGAAUUACUGGGCGUAAAGGGCGCGUAGGCGGCCUGUUAAGUCGAACGUGAAAUCCCCGGGCUCAACCCGGGAACUGCGUCCGAUACUGGCAGGCUUGAAUCCGGGAGAGGGAUGCGGAAUUCCAGGUGUAGCGGUGAAAUGCGUAGAUAUCAGGAGGAAUACCGAUGGCGAAGGCAGGUCUCUGGGCUGACACUGACGCUCAUGCACGAAAGCGUGGGGAGCAAACAGG